rnacentral:rRNA from 1 species
UACGGGGGGGGCAAGCGUUGUUCGGAAUUACUGGGCGUAAAGGGCUCGUAGGUGGCCAACUAAGUCAGACGUGAAAUCCCUCGGCUUAACCGGGGGAACUGCGUCUGAUACUGGAUGGCUUGAGUUCGGGAGAGGGAUGCGGAAUUCCAGGUGUAGCGGUGAAAUGCGCAGAUAUCAGGAGGAACACCAAUGGCGUAGGCAGCUCGCUGGGACGGUACUGACGCUGAGACGCGAAAGCGUGGGGAGCGAACAGG